rnacentral:rRNA from 1 species
GAUGAACGCUGGCGGCGUGCCUAAUACAUGCAAGUCGAGCGAACAGACGAGGAGCUUGCUCCUCUGACGUUAGCGGCGGACGGGUGAGUAACACGUGGAUAACCUACCUAUAAGACUGGGAUAACUUCGGGAAACCGGAGCUAAUACCGGAUAAUAUAUUGAACCGCAUGGUUAACUAGUGAAAGACGGUUUUGCUGUCACUUAUAGAUGGAUCCGCGCCGCAUUAGCUAGUUGGUAAGGUAACGGCUUACCAAGGCAACGAUGCGUAGCCGACCUGAGAGGGUGAUCGGCCACACUGGAACUGAGACACGGUCCAGACUCCUACGGGAGGCAGCAGUAGGGAAUCUUCCGCAAUGGGCGAAAGCCUGACGGAGCAACGCCGCGUGAGUGAUGAAGGUCUUCGGAUCGUAAAACUCUGUUAUUAGGGAAGAACAAAUGUGUAAGUAACUAUGCACGUCCUGACGGUACCUAAUCAGAAAGCCACGGCUAACUACGUG